UACGAAAGGUGCAAGCGUUGUUCGGAAUUACUGGGCGUAAAGCGCGUGUAGGCGGGCCGUUAAGUCGGGGGUGAAAGCCCAGAGCUCAACUCUGGAAUUGCCUUCGAUACUGGCGGCCUGGAGCAUGAUAGAGGCGAGUGGAAUUGCGAGUGUAGAGGUGAAAUUCGUAGAUAUUCGCAGGAACACCAGUGGCGAAGGCGACUCGCUGGAUCAUUGCUGACGCUGAGACGCGAAAGCGUGGGGAGCAAACAGG
rnacentral:rRNA from 1 species